rnacentral:rRNA from 1 species
UUCCGGUUGAUCCCGCCGGAGGUCACUGCUAUCGGGGUUCGAUUAAGCCAUGCGAGUCGAGAGGGUUCGGCCCUCGGCGUACUGCUCAGUAACACGUGGAUAACCUGCCCUAGGGAAGGGGAUAACCCCGGGAAACUGGGGAUAAUACCCUAUAGGUUACAGAUGCUGGAAUGCCCUGUAACCCAAAGUUCCGACGCCCUAGGAUGGAUCUGCGGCCGAUUAGGUUGUUGUUGGGGUAAUGGCCCAACAAGCCCGUAAUCGGUACGGGUUGUGGGAGCAAGAGCCCGGAGUUGGAUUCUGAGACACGAAUCCAGGCCCUACGGGGCGCAGCAGGCGCGAAAACUUUACAAUGCGGGCAACCGUGAUAAGGGAACCUCGAGUGCCUGUAAAUGCAGGCUGUUCAGGUGCCUAAAACACACCUGAAGAAAGGGCCGGGCAAGACCGGUGCCAGCCGCCGCGGUAAUACCGGCGGCUCGAGUGGUGGCCGCUUUUAUUGGGCUUAAAGCGUUCGUAGCUGGGUUGUUAAGUCUCUUGGGAAAUCUGGCGGCUUAACCGUCAGGCGUCUAAGGGAUACUGGCAAUCUUGGAACCGGGAGAGGUGAGGGGUACUUCGGGGGUAGGAGUGAAAUCCUGUAAUCCUCGAGGGACCACCUGUGGCGAAGGCGCCUCACCAGAACGGCUUCGACAGUGAGGGACGAAAGCUGGGGGAGCAAACCGGAUUAGAUACCCGGGUAGUCCCAGCCGUAAACUAUGCGCGUUAGGUGUAUCGGUGACCACGAGUUACCGAGGUGCCGAAGGGAAACCGUGAAACGUGCCACCUGGGAAGUACGGCCGCAAGGCUGAAACUUAAAGGAAUUGGCGGGGGAGCACAACAACGGGUGGAGCCUGCGGUUUAAUUGGACUCAACGCCGGACAACUCACCGGGGACGACAGCAAUAUGUAGGCCAGGCUGAAGACCUUGCCUGAAUCGCUGAGAGGAGGUGCAUGGCC